UUGCGUGGCCGCCGGAUGACGGGUAUCGUUGAUGUCGAUAUAUUUAAGUAAUUCUUGUCACGU
rnacentral:tRNA from 1 species